rnacentral:tRNA from 1 species
GCCUCCGUAGCUCAGCCUGGUUAGAGCAACCGCCUCGUAAGCGGUGGGUCGUGGGUUCAAAUCCCACCGGGGGCU